AGCCCAGCUUGCUGGGUGGAUUAGUGGCGAACGGGUGAGUAACACGUGAGCAACCUGCCCCUGACUCUGGGAUAACAGCCGGAAACGGUUGCUAAUACCGGAUAUGCAUCAUGGCCGCAUGGUCUGUGGUGGGAAAGAUUUUUCGGUUGGGGAUGGGCUCGCGGCCUAUCAGCUUGUUGGUGAGGUAGUGGCUCACCAAGGCGUCGACGGGUAGCCGGCCUGAGAGGGUGACCGGCCACACUGGGACUGAGACACGGCCCAGACUCCUACGGGAGGCAGCAGUGGGGAAUAUUGCACAAUGGGCGGAAGCCUGAUGCAGCAACGCCGCGUGAGGGAUGACGGCCUUCGGGUUGUAAACCUCUUUUAGCAGGGAAGAAGCGAAAGUGACGGUACCUGCAGAAAAAGCGCCGGCUAACUACGUGCCAGCAGCCGCGGUAAUACGUAGGGCGCAAGCGUUAUCCGGAAUUAUUGGGCGUAAAGAGCUCGUAGGCGGUUUGUCGCGUCUGCUGUGAAAACCCGAGGCUCAACCUCGGGCCUGCAGUGGGUACGGGCAGACUAGAGUGCGGUAGGGGAGAUUGGAAUUCCUGGUGUAGCGGUGGAAUGCGCAGAUAUCAGGAGGAACACCGAUGGCGAAGGCAGAUCUCUGGGCCGUUACUGACGCUGAGGAGCGAAAGGGUGGGGAGCAAACAGGCUUAGAUACCCUGGUAGUCCACCCCGUAAACGUUGGGAACUAGUUGUGGGGGCCUUUCCACGGUCUCCGUGACGCAGCUAACGCAUUAAGUUCCCCGCCUGGGGAGUACGGCCGCAAGGCUAAAAC
rnacentral:rRNA from 1 species